rnacentral:rRNA from 1 species
UAAGUCAGUAGUGAAAGCGUGGGGCUCAACCCCAUACACAUUAUUGAAACUGCUAAGCUAGAGAAUGAGAGAGGUAUCUGGAAUUCCCAGUGUAGGAGUGAAAUCCGUAGAUAUUGGGAGGAACACCGAUGGCGUAGGCAGGGUACUGGCUCAUUUCUGACACUAAGGCACGAAAGCGUGGGGAGCAAACGGGAUUAGAUACCCCGGUAGUCCACGCCGUAAACUAUGGAUGCUA